GAUGAACGCUGGCGGCGUGCCUAAUACAUGCAAGUCGAGCGAACAGACGAGGAGCUUGCUCCUCUGACGUUAGCGGCGGACGGGUGAGUAACACGUGGAUAACCUACCUAUAAGACUGGGAUAACUUCGGGAAACCGGAGCUAAUACCGGAUAAUAUAUUGAGCCGCACGGUUCAAUAGUGAAAGACGGUUUUGCUGUCACUUAUAGAUGGAUCCGCGCCGCAUUAGCUAGUUGGUAAGGUAACGGCUUACCAAGGCAACGAUGCGUAGCCGACCUGAGAGGGUGAUCGGCCACACUGGAACUGAGACACGGUCCAGACUCCUACGGGAGGCAGCAGUAGGGAAUCUUCCGCAAUGGGCGAAAGCCUGACGGAGCAACGCCGCGUGAGUGAUGAAGGUCUUCGGAUCGUAAAACUCUGUUAUUAGGGAAGAACAAAUGUGUAAGUAACUAUGCACGUCUUGACGGUACCUAAUCAGAAAGCCACGGCUAACUACGUG
rnacentral:rRNA from 1 species